UCCGUAGGGUGCGAUCGUUAAUCGGAAUUACUGGGCGUAAAGCGUGCGCAGGCGGUUAUGUAAGACAGAGGUGAAAUCCCCGGGCUCAACCUGGGAACUGCCUUUGUAACUGCAUAGCUGGAGUACGGCAGAGGGGGAUGGAAUUCCGCGUGUAGCAGUGAAAUGCGUAGAUAUGCGGAGGAACACCGAUGGCGAAGGCAAUCCCCUGGGCCUGUACUGACGCUCAUGCACGAAAGCGUGGGGAGCAAACAGG
rnacentral:rRNA from 1 species